UACUUAGGGUGCGAGCGUUAAUCGGAAUUACUGGGCGUAAAGUGUGCGCAGGCGGCGUCGCAAGUCGAGUGUGAAAGCCCCGAGCUUAACUUGGGAAUUGCGCUCGAAACUACGAUGCUGGAGUGUGGCAGAGGAAGGUGGAAUUCCACGUGUAGCGGUGAAAUGCGUAGAGAUGUGGAGGAACACCGAUGGCGAAGGCAGCCUUCUGGGCCAACACUGACGCUCAUGCACGAAAGCGUGGGGAGCAAACAGG
rnacentral:rRNA from 1 species